UUGCUGGGCGGAUUAGUGGCGAACGGGUGAGUAACACGUGGGUGAUCUGCCCUGCACUUCGGGAUAAGCCUGGGAAACUGGGUCUAAUACCGGAUAUGACCACAGGAUGCAUGUUUUGUGGUGGAAAGGUUUACUGGUGCAGGAUGAGCCCGCGGCCUAUCAGCUUGUUGGUGGGGUAAUGGCCUACCAAGGCGACGACGGGUAGCCGGCCUGAGAGGGCGACCGGCCACACUGGGACUGAGACACGGCCCAGACUCCUACGGGAGGCAGCAGUGGGGAAUAUUGCACAAUGGGCGAAAGCCUGAUGCAGCGACGCCGCGUGAGGGAUGACGGCCUUCGGGUUGUAAACCUCUUUCAGCAGGGACGAAGCGCAAGUGACUGUACCUGCAGAAGAAGCACCGGCUAACUACGUGCCAGCAGCCGCGGUAAUACGUAGGGUGCGAGCGUUGUCCGGAAUUACUGGGCGUAAAGAGUUCGUAGGCGGUUUGUCGCGUCGUGUGUGAAAUCCCGCAGCUCAACUGCGGGCUUGCAGGCGAUACGGGCAGACUUGAGUACUGCAGGGGAGACUGGAAUUCCUGGUGUAGCGGUGAAAUGCGCAGAUAUCAGGAGGAACACCGGUGGCGAAGGCGGGUCUCUGGGCAGUAACUGACGCUGAGGAACGAAAGCGUGGGUAGCGAACAGGAUUAGAUACCCUGGUAGUCCACGCCGUAAACGGUGGGCGCUAGGUGUGGGUUUCCUUCCACGGGAUCCGUGCCGUAGCUAACGCAUUAAGCGCCCC
rnacentral:rRNA from 1 species